AGGCAGCAGUGGGGAAUAUUGGACAAUGGGCGCAAGCCUGAUCCAGCCAUGCCGCGUGAGUGAUGAAGGCCCUAGGGUUGUAAAGCUCUUUCACCGGUGAAGAUAAUGACGGUAACCGGAGAAGAAGCCCCGGCUAACUUC
rnacentral:rRNA from 1 species